GCCGGGCGUGGUGGCUCACGCCUGCAAUCCCAGCACUUUAGGAGGCUGAGGCGGGUGGAUCACUUGAGGUCAGGAGUUUGAGACCAGCCUGGCCAACAUGGUGAAACCCCGUCUCUA
rnacentral:sRNA from 1 species